GCGUUGGUCGGGGGGAAGGUUCUAGAAAAGCGGCGGCAGCGGCUCUAGCGGCAGUAGCAGCAGCGCCGGCUCCCGUGUGGAGGUGCUCUUAGCGGUGUUGUUUCUCGAGCAGCAGCAGCUCUCACUACAGCGCCAGGACGAGUCCGGUUCGUGUUCGUCCGCGGAGAUCUCUCUCAUCUCGCUCGGCUGCGGGAAAUCGGGCUGAGGCGACUGAGUCCGCGAUGGAGAGAGAAAAGGAACAGUUCCGUAAACUUUUUAUUGGUGGCUUGAGCUUUGAAACCACAGAAGAAAGUUUGAGGAACUACUACGAGCAAUGGGGGAAACUUACAGACUGUGUGGUCAUGAGAGAUCCUGCAAGCAAAAGAUCAAGAGGAUUUGGUUUUGUAACUUUUUCGUCCAUGGCUGAGGUUGACGCUGCCAUGGCUGCAAGACCUCAUUCAAUUGAUGGGAGAGUGGUUGAGCCAAAACGUGCUGUUGCAAGAGAGGAAUCUGGAAAGCCAGGGGCUCACGUAACUGUGAAGAAGCUGUUUGUUGGUGGAAUUAAAGAAGAUACUGAGGAACAUCAUCUUAGAGAUUACUUCGAAGAGUAUGGAAAGAUUGAUACCAUUGAGAUAAUUACUGAUAGGCAGUCUGGAAAGAAAAGAGGCUUUGGAUUUGUUACCUUUGAUGAUCAUGAUCCCGUGGAUAAGAUUGUGUUGCAGAAAUAUCAUACCAUCAAUGGUCAUAAUGCAGAAGUAAGAAAGGCUCUGUCUAGACAAGAAAUGCAGGAAGUCCAGAGUUCUAGAAGUGGAAGAGGAGGCAACUUCGGUUUUGGAGAUUCUCGUGGUGGUGGUGGAAAUUUUGGACCAGGCCCGGGAAGUAACUUUAGAGGAGGAUCUGAUGGAUAUGGAAGUGGUCGCGGAUUUGGGGAUGGCUAUAAUGGGUAUGGAGGAGGACCUGGAGGUGGCAAUUUUGGAGGUAGCCCUGGUUAUGGAGGAGGAAGAGGAGGAUAUGGUGGUGGAGGACCUGGAUAUGGCAACCAGGGUGGGGGCUACGGAGGUGGUUAUGACAACUAUGGAGGAGGAAAUUACGGAAGUGGAAAUUACAAUGAUUUUGGAAAUUAUAACCAGCAACCUUCUAACUAUGGUCCAAUGAAGAGUGGAAACUUUGGUGGUAGCAGGAACAUGGGGGGACCAUAUGGUGGAGGAAACUAUGGUCCUGGAGGCAGUGGAGGAAGUGGGGGUUAUGGAGGGAGAAGCCGAUAUUGAGCUUCUUCCUAUUUGCCAUGGGUAAGUAGCUUUUGAGUUUUACCUUAUUAUUGUCUUGGGAGAUCUAGCUGCCAGGAGUAAAAGCUUUUUAGGAUCAUGUUAUCUUUCCUUAAAAUCUGGUUAGAUGGAUAAUUUCAUAACCUAUUUUUUUUUUACUCUUUACUUCUGUUGAAACAGGCUUCACUGUAUAAAUAGGAGAGGAUGAGAGCCCAGAGGUAACAGAACAGCUUCAGGUUAUCGAAAUAACAAUGUUAAGGAAACUCUUAUCUCAGUCAUGCAUAAAUAUGCAGUGAUAUGGCAGAAGACACCAGAGCAGAUGCAGAGAGCCAUUUUGUGAAUGGAUUGGAUUAUUUAAUAACAUUACCUUACUGUGGAGGAAGGAUUGUAAAAAAAAAAAUGCCUUUGAGACAGUUUCUUAGCUUUUUAAUUGUUGUUUCUUUCUAGUGGUCUUUGUAAGAGUGUAGAAGCAUUCCUUCUUUGAUAAUGUUAAAUUUGUAAGUUUCAGGUGACAUGUGAAACCUUUUUUAAGAUUUUUCUCAAAGUUUUGAAAAGCUAUUAGCCAGGAUCAUGGUGUAAUAAGACAUAACGUUUUUCCUUUAAAAAAAUUUAAGUGCGUGUGUAGAGUUAAGAAGCUGUUGUACAUUUAUGAUUUAAUAAAAUAAUUCUAAAGGAAAUUGUGUAAUUAUAGACUUUUUAUUUUAAAUAAGUUAAGGAGUGGGUAGUAUAAUUAAGGUCCUUUGCAAAGUUGUUGUUAUAUUUGUGUAAGAUAAAUGCUGGUCAGAUAUAAGUGUGUUGUCUGCAAUUCAUCAGGAUUAAAUUAUCUAGAUAACUUAAGGGAUAUCUCUGCAAAGAGAAACACCUUUUUAGAUCUUUUAGAUGCUGCUUCUUCAAUGCAAGGAAAGGAAAUAACCCCAGCGAGGUACUCUUCAGGGAUACAGGUCUAGUACAAGAGAACUCUUGACGGCUACUAAGUUCAGCCAGUCUUAAAAAACUGUGCUGUUUCUACAAAGCUUUAACUACAGUAGUUUAUAAGGAUGACAACGAAAGCUGAGGGUGUAGAGCAAAAUAGUUCUAAGCUUCAGUUAAACUUCUUUAGCAUUGAUAUGAACCAUGGACAAGUAUAUUCUGCUGCCACAAAGACUGUAAAGUGCUUCAUUUCAACAGCUGAGGCGCAAGCCAAGUGAUCAUUAAUAAAGCUUUUCUUGGUUCCUUCAGUGGUGUUGGUAGUAAAAUGGAAGGUGUCUUGCUGCAGGUAACUAAUGAAGAAGUGGUCAACCACAGAGUCUUCAAGAAAUAAGAAAUACUGUACCAUCUGAAAGUAGUUCUUGUUGGUGCCUUCAUUUAAAAAAAAAAAAAGCACUUUAAGAUUAAAGGGAAAUGUUUUCUGAUAAAAUACAUCAUUUAGUACAGGUUCUUAAUAUAAAACCAUUACAAAUUGAGUACUGUUUGUAAAAGAGUAACAUGAAGUAAGCUAGAGAGAGAAAUGUAUCAUGUUUUAAAUUAGGUUUUGUGAGUAGACAGAUUAAAAUUCUAUUUUAAAUAUAAAGUUUAUAAAAUAAACACUUUUGUAUUCAAAUACUUGGUGUAAUGUUUACACAUAAAAUGUGUGAAUCUUGUUCUAUCAACUUACAGUUGUCUAAAAGAUUGCCAUCCCCUAGAGUUUUAAAGCAGUUUCACAAAGCUAUGCAUAUUGCCAUUUUUAUUUCAAUAUUGAUAGUCAAGAAAAGCAUUGUGGACAUUAUUGGCUGUCCCUAAUAAAAUGCCAUUCUUUUUAUACUGUA